AUUUCUUCGCGUUUCGUCUUCGGCUUGUCAGUGCUUAAAGCAGUUCAAAUUUAACUGCCAUCUCGCGCCUAGCAGAUCAAUCUAUAAGCAUACGUAAAGUUGGCACUAUUUAUGCAAUCCUCAAAUGAUAUUUGAAGUGUCCACCCUCUCGAAAACAUCUUGUAUUUCCCACUAUUUUAUUAGUUGUACCUAUUUUCGAACAUGUAAAUACAUAACAUUAUAUACUGUGAACUGAGUAUACAGGAGCAUUAAAGAAAACUUCACUUUUUCGUGAACCGUGAACUAUAGCAGACGUCUUUUUAUCAACCAUAGUGAAAAUUGAGAAACUCAUUACGUUUUAAUUGGCGACGAGGAAAAGUAUUCUUUUGGAGUUUUCUGUGCUCGCGAGUGGAGGUUGAAUACCGUUAUUUGAAGCUGUACAUCUAUAAUUUCUACGAAAUUGGCACGUUAGGCGAUUGUUGGGUACAAUUGUCGAAAGAAGGAUAACGACGCUCGCAGACGCCAUCAUUUAAUUGAGACGCCAUCGAUAAAAUCUGACCGGCGUCAUAUACGCCAUUGGCCAUCACGUGAGGACAAUAGCUUCGAGGAAAGAAAAUUUGUGAAACGACGCCAUCGUGAAAUUGGACGACGCAAGUUUUAACCAAGACGUAUAGCAAUUGGAAACGUCAAAACAAUGGCUUAAAAGUUGGUGCCAGAACGAUUCACAGCCGAGGUCAAACGUGUGGGUCAUGCCCGGCGCUCAAGAAGACGACCCAGGAGACGAGACAACGCAAGCUGGAUACAGCACGGACGAAGAACCAUCCCUAAUGAUGAAGUUAACGAAGAUGAUUCGUUAAAACAUUACAAACAAUCACAUGAUUGGUUGAAUAAUCUGACCGAGGGAGAUUUAAUAUGAUAGCAAUUGGAAACGUCAAAACAAUGGCUUAAAAGUUGGUGCCAGAACGAUUCACAGCCGAGGUCAAACGUGUGGGUCAUGCCCGGCGCUCAAGAAGACGACCCAGGAGACGAGACAACGCAAGCUGGAUACAGCACGGACGAAGAACCAUCCCUAAUGAUGAAGUUAACGAAGAUGAUUCGUUAAAACAUUACAAACAAUCACAUGAUUGGUUGAAUAAUCUGACCGAGGGAGAUUUAAUAUGAUAGCAAUUGGAAACGUCAAAACAAUGGCUUAAAAGUUGGUGCCAGAACGAUUCACAGCCGAGGUCAAACGUGUGGGUCAUGCCCGGCGCUCAAGAAGACGACCCAGGAGACGAGACAACGCAAGCUGGAUACAGCACGGACGAAGAACCAUUCAGGGGAUUCUCUGAGGUUCAGGCAAAGGCCGGGAACAGAAAGCGAAACGCGAACACGGCAAACUUGCCGGACGUGUGUCUACGGCGUUCAAAAAGAAUUCGCCAUCGAAAAGCCGACUCGGAAUUUAUUUACGGAUGAUAGAAUUUUAUAUCUUUCGAGAUAUUAACCAUAAUUUGUUUCACUGAAUAUUGUAAACCUUUUUCAUUGUAUAAAUUUAUAGAAUAAGCUUUCAUUUAUAUAUAACUUAACAUUUAAAGGGCGGCGACUGAAGUGUCCACCCUCUCGAAAACAUCUUGUAUUUCCCACUAUUUUAUUAAAUGUACCUAUUUUCGAACAUGUAAAUACAUAACAUUAUAUACUGUGAACUGAGUAUACAGGAGCAUUAAAGAAAACUUCACUUUUUCGUGAACCGUGAACUAUAGCAGACGUCUUUUUAUCAACCAUAGUGAAAAUUGAGAAACUCAUUACGUUUCAAUAUUGUACAAGUGCCAUAUUAUUUCUGACGUCUCAGGCGUAAGCGAGUGACGGCUUAAUA